rnacentral:rRNA from 1 species
GCGAUACAGGGUGACAGCCCCGUACACAAAAAUGCACAUGCUGUGAGCUCGAUGAGUAGGGCGGGACACGUGGUAUCCUGUCUGAAUAUGGGGGGACCAUCCUCCAAGGCUAAAUACUCCUGACUGACCGAUAGUGAACCAGUACCGUGAGGGAAAGGCGAAAAGAACCCCGGCGAGGGGAGUGAAAAAGAACCUGAAACCGUGUACGUACAAGCAGUGGGAGCACGCUUAGGCGUGUGACUGCGUACCUUUUGUAUAAUGGGUCAGCGACUUAUAUUCUGUAGCAAGGUUAACCGAAUAGGGGAGCCGAAGGGAAACCGAGUCUUAACUGGGCGUUAAGUUGCAGGGUAUAGACCCGAAACCCGGUGAUCUAGCCAUGGGCAGGUUGAAGGUUGGGUAACACUAACUGGAGGACCGAACCGACUAAUGUUGAAAAAUUAGCGGAUGACUUGUGGCUGGGGGUGAAAGGCCAAUCAAACCGGGAGAUAGCUGGUUCUCCCCGAAAGCUAUUUAGGUAGCGCCUCGUGAAUUCAUCUCCGGGGGUAGAGCACUGUUUCGGCAAGGGGGUCAUCCCGACUUACCAACCCGAUGCAAACUGCGAAUACCGGAGAAUGUUAUCACGGGAGACACACGGCGGGUGCUAACGUCCGUCGUGAAGAGGGAAACAACCCAGACCGCCAGCUAAGGUCCCAAAGUCAUGGUUAAGUGGGAAACGAUGUGGGAAGGCCCAGACAGCCAGGAUGUUGGCUUAGAAGCAGCCAUCAUUUAAAGAAAGCGUAAUAGCUCACUGGUCGAGUCGGCCUGCGCGGAAGAUGUAACGGGGCUAAACCAUGCACCGAAGCUGCGGCAGCGACGCUUAUGCGUUGUUGGGUAGGGGAGCGUUCUGUAAGCCUGUGAAGGUGUGCUGUGAGGCAUGCUGGAGGUAUCAGAAGUGCGAAUGCUGACAUAAGUAACGAUAAAGCGGGUGAAAAGCCCGCUCGCCGGAAGACCAAGGGUUCCUGUCCAACGUUAAUCGGGGCAGGGUGAGUCGACCCCUAAGGCGAGGCCGAAAGGCGUAGUCGAUGGGAAACAGGUUAAUAUUCCUGUACUUGGUGUUACUGCGAAGGGGGGACGGAGAAGGCUAUGUUGGCCGGGCGACGGUUGUCCCGGUUUAAGCGUGUAGGCUGGUUUUCCAGGCAAAUCCGGAAAAUCAAGGCUGAGGCGUGAUGACGAGGCACUACGGUGCUGAAGCAACAAAUGCCCUGCUUCCAGGAAAAGCCUCUAAGCAUCAGGUAACAUCAAAUCGUACCCCAAACCGACACAGGUGGUCAGGUAGAGAAUACCAAGGCGCUUGAGAGAACUCGGGUGAAGGAACUAGGCAAAAUGGUGCCGUAACUUCGGGAGAAGGCACGCUGAUAUGUAGGUGAAGUCCCUCGCGGAUGGAGCUGAAAUCAGUCGAAGAUACCAGCUGGCUGCAACUGUUUAUUAAAAACACAGCACUGUGCAAACACGAAAGUGGACGUAUACGGUGUGACGCCUGCCCGGUGCCGGAAGGUUAAUUGAUGGGGUUAGCGCAAGCGAAGCUCUUGAUCGAAGCCCCGGUAAACGGCGGCCGUAACUAUAACGGUCCUAAGGUAGCGAAAUUCCUUGUCGGGUAAGUUCCGACCUGCACGAAUGGCGUAAUGAUGGCCAGGCUGUCUCCACCCGAGACUCAGUGAAAUUGAACUCGCUGUGAAGAUGCAGUGUACCCGCGGCAAGACGGAAAGACCCCGUGAACCUUUACUAUAGCUUGACACUGAACAUUGAGCCUUGAUGUGUAGGAUAGGUGGGAGGCUUUGAAGUGUGGACGCCAGUCUGCAUGGAGCCGACCUUGAAAUACCACCCUUUAAUGUUUGAUGUUCUAACGUUGACCCGUAAUCCGGGUUGCGGACAGUGUCUGGUGGGUAGUUUGACUGGGGCGGUCUCCUCCUAAAGAGUAACGGAGGAGCACGAAGGUUGGCUAAUCCUGGUCGGACAUCAGGAGGUUAGUGCAAUGGCAUAAGCCAGCUUGACUGCGAGCGUGACGGCGCGAGCAGGUGCGAAAGCAGGUCAUAGUGAUCCGGUGGUUCUGAAUGGAAGGGCCAUCGCUCAACGGAUAAAAGGUACUCCGGGGAUAACAGGCUGAUACCGCCCAAGAGUUCAUAUCGACGGCGGUGUUUGGCACCUCGAUGUCGGCUCAUCACAUCCUGGGGCUGAAGUAGGUCCCAAGGGUAUGGCUGUUCGCCAUUUAAAGUGGUACGCGAGCUGGGUUUAGAACGUCGUGAGACAGUUCGGUCCCUAUCUGCCGUGGGCGCUGGAGAACUGAGGGGGGCUGCUCCUAGUACGAGAGGACCGGAGUGGACGCAUCACUGGUGUUCGGGUUGUCAUGCCAAUGGCACUGCCCGGUAGCUAAAUGCGGAAGAGAUAAGUGCUGAAAGCAUCUAAGCACGAAACUUGCCCCGAGAUGAGUUCUCCCUGACCCUUUAAGGGUCCUGAAGGAACGUUGAAGACGACGACGUUGAUAGGCCGGGUGUGUAAGCGCAGCGAUGCGUUGAGCUAACCGGUACUAAUGAACCGUGAGGCUUAACCUU